AACGUAUCAUCUGUUCCUUGGGCAGGCAAUCAGUUUGGAUGGAAUGCUAGAAUGAAGGUGGCCACUCAACUUGCAAGCCUCUUCGCCUGGUUUCAUGAGAGGGAUAUACAUUUGGUACUGUCAGACCAAAAGACAUAAUGAUUGACAACGACUUCAACAUUAAAGUAUUCGACUUUGGUUUCCUUACUCCGGUCACGAAUGAAGAUAAUUGGGGUCCCUUGCCUUAUCAUGCUAUUCGAGAACCUCCAGAGGCUAGAUACGC